UUUUUUAGCUCACCUGAGCACGAAGUGCUCAAAGGUGAGCUUUAGUGAUCACCCUGUGUCCGGCGUCCGUCGUCGUCCGUCGUCCGUCCGUCCGUCCGUCCGUCCGUCGUCAACAAUUUGACUGUUAACACUCUAGAGGUCACAUUUUUGACCCAAUCUUAAUGAAACUUGGUCAGAAUGUUACCCUCAAUAAAAUCUUGGACGAGUUCGAUAUUGGGUCAUCUGGGGUCAAAAACUAGGUCAUCAGGUCAAAUCAAAGGAAAAGCUUGUUAACACUCUAGAGGUCACAUUUUUGGCCCAAUCUUAAUGAAACUUGGUCAGAAUGUUACCCUCAAUAAAAUCUUGGAUGAGUUCGAUAUUAAGUCAUCUGGGGUCAAAAACUAGGUCAUCAGGUCAAAUCAAAGGAAAAGCUUGUUAACACUCUAGAGGCCACAUUUUUGACUAUAUCUUCAUGAAACUUAGUCAGAAUGUUAAACUUGAUGGUCUUUAGGUCAAGUUCGAAUCUGGGUCAUGUCGGGUCAAAAACUAGGUCACGGGGGUCAAAUAAAAGGAAUAGUUAGUUAACACUUUAGAGGCCACAUUUAUGACCAUAUCUUAAUGAAACUUGGUCAGAAUGUUAAUCUUGAUGAUCUAUAGGUCAAGUUUAAAUCUGGGUCAGGUGUGUUAAAAAACUAGGUCACUAGGUCAAAUCAAAGGAAAAGCUUGUUAAGACUCUAGAGGCCAGAUUUAUGACUGUAUCUUCAUGAAACUUAAUCAGAAUGUUAAUCUUGAUGAUCUUUAGGUCAAGUUCGAAUCUGGGUCAUGUGGGGGCAAAAACUAGGUCACCGGGUCAAAUCAAAGGAAAAGCUAGUUAACACUUUAGAGGCUACAUUUAUGACCAUAUCUUAAUGAAACUUGGUCAGAAUGUUGAUCUUGAUGAUCUUUAGGUCAAUAGGUCAGGUGAGCGAUACAGGGCCUUCAUGGCCCUCUUGUUUAAUAUACAGUAGACACAAAUUCUUAGAAAAUGUUGGCCAAACACCAAAUGCAUUGAAAUGAAUAUUCUUUAGAAUACAGAUCAGUUUGGUGGAAAGUGUGGAAUAUCAAAACGUUUGCAGUCUGCUGGCAGUGUGAUUUAUUAUGUCCAUUUUGAAAAAAAAAGUAUUAGUCAGUCCAAAAUAUAGUUACAAAUGAAAAUUAGAAUUUACAGUUUAUAUGUUAACUUUCCAAAAGACUUUAACCUGUACCUUUCACCCUUACAAUGAAUAUUGACCUUUUUGCACAAAACAGUUGUAAUUACAAGAUACAGUUAUUUUGCACUGAGCUCUCUGUUAGCCCUUUUUUAGGACUUUGGCAAACAGUGUAGACCCAGAUCAGCCAGCAUGCAACCGUGCUGACAGAUCAGGGUUUACACUGUUUGCUUUCCAGUAAGUAGGUAAGGAUUAAGUGUCUAAGAAGCUAACAGUCUAGACCCUGGUCAGCUGACAAAGUUGUGUGCUGUCUGAUCUUGGUCUUACAUAGGCCUAUAAAAUUCUGCAGGUUGCUUUUUCAUGUCACCUAGAACAAGGGUUCUGGUUGAGGUAUUAGUAUAGAUAGAUGUGCCAUCGUGGAUAUCAACUUUAGCAACUUCCUGUCACAGUUUUACUAGCAGCUAGGGGCUCUCCUUAUCUGUCUUCUUUUGAUAAGGUAUUGACUUGAUUUUUAGCACUGUAAAAAUUCUACUUAUUUCUACUUGAUGCCAAGUUACUAGCUGGUGAUCAAAAUGAACAUCGUAAAUAAAUUCUCUGUAAAUAACAAUUUAGCUAUUAAUUACAAAAUGGUUCUUUUAUUGAACAUCUUCUUGCAAAUAAGUUGCAGAAUUGUCAAAAUGCCAGUAUUUGUUAUAUGCUGCAACAAAAUGUUUUUUACAUUUCAUGUUAGUAACCAGGUCAUAGAUAUAUUACAUUAGAAUAAUCAUCUUCCCAAGUUAAAGGUGAGACAGAAGUAUAAUUAGGUUUUUAAAAUUGUGCUUGAAGCAUAGCAGACAUGUCAUCGUACAAAAAAGAACAGUGAUGACAAUGACAAAUAUAUAGAGACUUUAUUUUAAAAAUGUUUUAUUUAAACGGGAAGUGAUUUAUCCAGGAAAUCUAGAAAACAAUCAGUCAGUGUUUAAGUUUAAUAACGGUCCAUUCGCCCUUUCAGACACAAUGAAGCAUAAAAAUGCCACAUAGACUAUAGACAGCAUCCAGAGCACAAAUGUUGCCGUGAUCCUUUAAUAUCUAGUGUAUUAAAGGUAAACAAACACUAAGUAGGAAAAUGAUGUGAAAAAAAUGGUACCUAUAUAAUGAUAGAAUCAAAUAGUUCUCAGGCAUUUUUUUGCUCUGUAGAGCUACUUUCCUUAUUUUCCAUACAAAUUUUGGCUGAAAUCACAUGACAGAUCUAUGCUUGACAUUCAUGUAGGAUUUUAAUAAUGAACUGAUAACAUAACAGAAUUUUUCCUUGAAACUCAGGUCAUACACCAUCACUGCAAUUUUGGGGUCUCAUUUUUAGCUGAUUUUACAGUGUGUUUGUUUGACUGAAAAUAUUUUUCUUGCAACAAACAUGACCUUCACUUCUUUAUUUUUAUUCAGCACUGACAGUAUUCUUCAAGAAAAUGUAAGGUACAGAUAUUUAAAAUGGGUCUAUGGAUCAUGAGUUUUAUCUACAGGUGAGACGUAUGUUCUCUGUGACAUUGUGUCUGAAAUCAUUCAUUCUCCACCUCUGAUCCAUGUGGAGAAGUUGCCAGCUACUUGCGGAGAGCAGAUUAUUACUGGUAACUGCCUGCUAAUACAUAAUUGAAAUACUGUUGAAGUAUGGGGCUAAACCUGGAACAAACAAACAAACAAAUAAGGUUAAUUUUGACAAUAGAUAGCUUUUGAUGUAAAAUAAAUAAAAAUAAAAAUAUUGAUGAGCAGCAAUAUAAGGAUUUUAUUUGAUAUUUGGCAAAUUUUAAAAAAUCAAGCACACGGUCCAUUACAUUUUACUGACUGUGUGAUUGAAAAUAGUCUACAAAAUUUAAUAUUAAACAUUUCAUUAUUGUAUUUUGGUUCUCUUUCUGUAUGCUAAAAUGUUGUCCUAAGUGGGACUUUCCCAUAUAUUGUGAAAAUUGACCGGAGGAUGAAUAUUUUCAAAUCGGUCUUAUGCAUAUGGCCGUAUCUUUUUAUCUGCUGAAUAUCUUUCAGAUACAUUGAUGUUUUGAAAAAAUAUGGUUUAAUAAAAUUCUUCAUUGUAGAAUGAUAUUUGUAUCAUACACGCUUAAGACGAAUGGUGUCCUCAAUUAUCUUGCUAAAGUACUCAAAACACCUCUCUCAAAUUUGUUCAAAUGGGGGCAGUUGGCCCCUUUUAGGGGUUGCUAGGGCUAAAAGUAAGAAUACAUUUUAAUGACUACUUAUUGUGUACCACUCAGUGGAUCUUCAUCAAACCUGGUCUGUGGCAUCAAUAAAAGGUCCUCUCAUAAAUUUGUUCAGUUUGGGGUGUUUGGCCCCUUUAUGGGUCAGAUGGUUAUGAUCCUCUUCAAGUGAGCAACUUAGGCCCAUUUGGGCCUCUUGUUAUAAAAUCUACUGCUCAUGUAAAAUUGAAUGCGCAAUUUUUAAAAAAACAACUCAUAAUGAUAUUUUUAUGCUGCCUGCACCCCCACACCUCUCUGGAGAGUGCUCAUGUUGGUCUAUAGACUGUUUAGUAACUCAAAUCAAUAUCUAGUGAACACUUUAGCUAACUGACAUGAAACUUCAUAGGAUGAUACACAACCCUGCGAUUUGGGGCUCAGUACAUUAAACUCAGUGCUGUUGACCUCCAGGCUGGAUGUAGUUUCGGUACGCUUAGGCCUGGUGUUGUCAAACUUCUUUAGUUGAUUGCCUGUGGUUAUUGGAAGGUCCAUAUUAUUUAAGGGGCUAGUGGGUCAGAAGUCAAGGUCAGUGACCUUCAUUGACCUGAAAAUAGUAUCUGCUGAAUAACUAGGCAUUAAGGUCAUCCAACUUCAUGAUUGCUUUUAAAACAGUAGAUGAAGGUCAUAUGUCAAGGUUACAGUGACCUUGAGCCUAAGAAUGCUGUCUACACAAUAACUAGAGAAUGCUUAGGUCUACAGUUGUAAAACUUUUAUAGGAUGAUUGCUUGAAGUCAGUAGAUUAGAAAUAUUUAUUUUGGUCAGAAGAUCAAAGGUCAAGAUCAUGGUGACCUUGGGACAGAAAAUGUUUCCAGAUCAAUAAAUGAAAAUUCCUCCCACACAUAUUUUUUUGUGUUUUAUAAAGAAUCACCUUGGGAAAAUACAAAAUUGAUAUUACAAAUUCAAUUUGGCACAAAGCAUGCUUUUUGUAUAACUACGUAUAAUACCACAGUCACACUUAUGGCGCAGAUAGCUACGUUUAGCUACAGAUAGAAACAUAGUAAUCUGUAUCGAUCCGUACCUUAGCCGUGCGGAUUGAUAUGGGUUACUACUUUAAGGUACAGCUCAGGUACGGAUCGAUACGGAUUACCACGUUUCUGUCCGUGGCUAGACAUAGCUAUCCGGGCCGUAUGUGUGACUGGGGUAUAAAGUGGUAUAAUAUUGUAAUUUCAAGGCUUGUCAUUACAGAAACUGCGUAAGUUCAUGAAAAUAACUUUUCAUGAAUAUAUGCCAGUAACUACUUGCAUGUAUAUAACUUUAAUUUUGGUAUGAAAAGUUAUAAAAUGUAAUAUUUUAACAUGCAGGAUAAUAGUAAUGACAGGUCUUAUGUAGCUGCAUGCAUAGUAGAAUUUAUUGUAUUAUUGUCUAUUUUUUCAGCCUUUUCUUUAACAAAUUGUUUGAUUUUUUACGGUACAGGGAUGAAGUGAGUAUAAACUUGUGCUGAAAUGAAAUAAAAAUAAAUGAGUGUCCAUUAUGUUUUCAUUUUAUUUUAGCUCCUGCUGUUGAACUAUGUCCUCAAUUUACUUCAUCCCUGAACUGUUUACUGUCAGCUUCUUAGCUUAGAUAUAUAUAUUAUUGUAGAAAAUCAUUCUUCUAACAUAUAUCAAUAAUGGUUAGACCUCAGUCAUUUCAGUAUUUAGGAGUUUUGUCAUGGAUUGUACUUAUUUGCUUGAACAUGCAUUGCUUAAAUGAAUUUACAUGUUUAUCAUAAUAUGAAGUUACUUUUUAGCUCAUCUGAUUUUUUGAAAAAAAAUGAUGAGUUAUUGUCAUCACUUGAGCGGUUGUCGGCGUCGGCGUCUGCGUCGGCGUUGCCUGGUUAAGUUUUAUGUUUAGGUCAGCUUUUCUCCUAAACUAUCAAAGCUAUUGCUUUGAAACUUGGAAUACUUGUUCACCAUCAUAAGCUGACCCUGUAUAGCAAGAAACAUAACUCCAUCUUGUUUUUUGCAAGAUUUAUGGCCCCUUUUGUACUUAGAAAAUAUCAGAUUUCUUGGUUAAGUUUCAUGUUUAGGUCAGCUUUUCUCCUAAACUAUCAAAGCUAUUGCUUUGAAACUUGGAAUACUUGUUCACCAUCAUAAGCAGACCCUGUACAUGAAGAAACAUAACUCCAUCUUGCUUUUUGCAAGAAUUAUUGCCCCUUUUGGACUUAGAAAAUCAGUUUUCUUGGUUAAGUUUUAUGUUUAGGUCAGCUUUUAUCCUAAACUAUCAAAGCUAUUGCUUUAGAACUUGCAACACUUGUUCACCAUCAUAAGCUGACCCUGUACAGCAAGAAACAUAACUCCAUCCUGC